UAUCCCUCAGCAAGAUCCUUUAAACGGAGUUUGAUUGCAGAGACCAAAAUUUACUGAUGUUCAGUCACACACAGGGGAAUCCACAAUCACCGGCAGUGACUAUAAAGUUUUCCUUAGAGUAAAAUUGCAAACCAUAUUGUAUUUCCGUAAGAAGCAACAGACUUCAACUACUCCUGGGGGAGUUUAAAUACAUCAUUUACUCAGGACAACCAACUUCCCAACACUUAUUAUACAAAUCAAGUCCUGUGCCUUCUUGUACAUUAUAAAAGCUUGGACAGAUCUCGGAGAUGAGAUCUCAGGUCACGAGGCCAUCCCUCAGGGCACAAGACGCCUCUUUUCGCUUUUGCGCCUUUCAGAGUUUCGCAGCAGGCAGGAAUUCAACAGGGGAGCCCCCUAAAUCAGGGACGAAAACAGAUGUUCUUGGGCUGCAACUAACUCCCAUUAUUCCCUCCCCUGCUGGCUGGGGAGCCAGGGCUGAAGGGAACCUGCAACUCAACACCCCGCGGGUCCCUCCCGACUUCAUCUGAACUCUCCGUCUUGCAGCUCGCCGGAAGACGGGCUCGAGAGCGCCGCCGUGACAGGAUGUGGACACACCUCCACACAACACGGAAGACCCACAACCGAGCUCGCAAAGAGCGGCUGUUUCAAAAGGCGGCAAGGAGGCGGAGUUGGGGGCGUCCCGUUUGGGUGCAAUUGGGCGCCCUUUUCCUCGGUGCGCGCGCUCUCUCUUUUUCAUUUAAUUCUCAAAACUCGUUGGGCCGGCUCCAGAAACCGGGACGGGGCGGCUUCCUGCUCUGGGCAGUUACGGUAUCUCUCCUGUACACGUGCGCGAGUUCAUCCAUGGAGAAAUCCUGCACCUCAAAGUACCUGGCUGGUCCUCAGUAAAGACUUGAUGGCACACAAUUGUUAUUAUUUUUAUUUUGAAGCUACUGUAAAAAGUCAGGCUUGGCUUUGACUGACUUUACUUUCCGCACUUGUGUGUUAAAAGAACCCAAAUAUGAGAAAACUAGAUUAGUAAAAAAAUCAACUAUGUGUUUACAUUACCUGCUACAUAGGCAUCCUUCAGUCUCGAGAGACUAUGGUAACAUGCUCUGAAUCGAGGAAUGUCUUCUUCAGAGCAUGAAGCUUGGGUAAAGUAAUAUGGAGGAUAGGCUGUUACCCAAGCAGCAGCUCCCCCCUCUCCACAUUGCUGAAAUGGUCCAAUAGAAAGGCAAAAGCCAAUACAACUGGUUCCAGCAACGUCGCAGGAGUUGGCAGAACGACACAUGCUGCCUUCGGGACUCCAGCUCCGGAUUUUGCCUCGAGGUUAACUCCUGAAGCCUUUACCUAAAACUAUAGGAAUUUCAUUCACCUAAUGGUGUCCAGUGUAAUUUGGCUUCACUAAAGACAGAAGAUAACAGCCCUUGAUUGUCUUCCAUGAUGUAUGUCUUACACUUUGGAUUCUUUGCAGACUAAAUUAACACAUGUAAAUAAAUGAAUUCUAGUCAAUAUGUAAAGGAGUAUG
rnacentral:lncRNA from 1 species